GCUCUCUCAAGCAGAUGGGUGCUGGCAACUUCCCUAGCCUCAAGUUUCCCACCUGUGAAAUGGGCACAGCAGAGGACAGCAUCUUGUGCCGUGUGUCAGAUGGGUUGCAAGUGGCAAGGGGAUGGCGCCUGGGGAUGCUGGAACUGUGAUAAGAUGCUGACUACAGGCAGCAGACACUGUUGAAACAGUUUGGGCAGUGGUGUGGGCAGGUCUGAGCCCUGGGCCUCGCUCACUGGAUCAUUUCUUUCACCCCUGCCAGGGUCCCUGCUUCCAGGAUGGGCCAGAGUUUGUUUUCCAGGAAUUCAGGGAUACUCUUGGUGAUUUUAUACCUGAUGUAUCCACCUUAGUGCCACCACCACUGGACUGUACUGACUAUGAUUUCUCACUUGGUGAGGAGGUGGCUUUUGGCCCCUGCACCCCGCAGCUGCAGAGCAGUGUGCUGGUGCAGGUUGCCCGACAGAACCUGUCUUCCCCUGAGCCAUGCUGGAGAGACCUGGCAGACCAGCAGCAGAAAGCCCUGGGAGAUGCCCUGGAGGCAAACAGCCAGCUGCAGGAGACCCUCACACAGAGGCAGGAAGAGCUGGUGUCGCUGCGGGAGAGCAACGUGCAGCUGAAGGAGCUGGCAAGUCAGGCCAGGCAGCUGGC